rnacentral:misc_RNA from 1 species
GAUGAAGAACGUAGCGAACGUGCGAAACGUAAUGUGAAUUGCAGAAUUCAGUGAAUCAUCGAAUCUUUGAACGCAUCUUGCGCUCCUUGGUAUUCCGAGGAGCAUGCCUGUUUGAGUGUCGUGAAUACUCUCAACUUCAACCCUUUUUUCGGAAAGGGAGGAAGGUUGGACUUGGGUGUUUGUUGAAGUGCGAGCUUCGACUCAUCCUAAAUGCAUUAGCGAUCUGCCUCGAUCACACACAAUGUGAUAAUUAAAACUAAAGCAUUGUUUAAUGAUCAAGUCGAGACUGCUUCUAACUGUCGCAAGACAAUAACGUGCAUACAUUUGUGCAUGUCAUUUGACCUCAAAUCAGGUAGGACUACCCGCUGAACUUAAGCAUAUCAAAAGCGGAGGA